UGCAAACAGAUGUUGGACCGCACGAACGCGACCGAGCACGACGACGAGCUCUUCUGCAGGUCCUGUUACGGCAAGAAAUUUGGACCCAAAGGUUACGGUUACGGUGGCGGUGGAGCUGGAGUCCUAUCUAUGGACGACGGAACCGGAUACAUUAACGGACCCCCAACAUCGAAUAUCCCGCAAUUGGCACAAGCUCACGUAGCCCCACUUCUGGCGAAUGGAGGAGUCAACGUCAAACAGACGAACGGAAACGUAUACAGCAAAUUCGGCUCGAGGAUCGACUGUCGCCGAUGUGGUACUUGUGUCUGAAAAUAACAUUAGUCAAGAGGAAAAAAAACUCAUUUAUCACUUGUUUAUUUUACAGGCAAAGUGGUUUUUAUGGCGGAGAAAAUGAUGGGCGGAGGUUCCUGUUGGCACAAGAGUUGCUUUACCUGCCUGUCGUGCAACAAGCGACUCGAAUCGACGUCGCUGUGUGAACGCGAAGGCGAAAUUUACUGCUAAAGCUGUUAUGGCAAACAGUUUGGACCUAAAGGCUAUGGGUUCGGACUAGGAGCCGGACUCUUGCAAAUGUCUGAAUAGCUAUUUUCCCUUUUUUUUCUUCUGGGGGUGGAACGGACGUGCAGAUUCGAAUGAGAAACUUUAAAGAACUGGUUCCAGUUUGAAAUACCCCCUUUUAUCAAAUCCCCCCCCCCCACCGAGACGUGGUACGGAAGGCCUCCCAAAUGGCUGACGUCUUGUGUGUGUGUGUGUAUGUUGCAGACAAACAAAAAGAAGAAGAAAAUGAUGAUCUAUUUAAAUAACCUCUUUUUUUCUACCCGGUCCAUUCAUUGGCUAAGUAUAUCCGCCUCCCCUCUGUAAGUUCACUUUAUCAACGAGCAUAAUAUAAUUUUUUUUUUAAUUUCAAUCUAGUCGACAUCCGCAUAAACAUUCCCUCCGUUCCUGCUAAUAUUUUCUUUCGUGUUUUUUGUUUAAACUUUUUGGUCUUUUUCCUCUGCUGAUCCUUCGAUACGGUACCCAUCGCCAUGUUAUGUUAUCCCUUGAAAUACCGAGGCAUUUCGUGUUCCUGUUUUCUUUCUUUUUUUGAAUGACGCGCCGGUUUCAAAAAUGUUUCAAACCCUCCGAAUUUUCUCGACGCGUCAACUGACCUGAAUUUAUUUCACCUAUCCAUUCCACUUGCCCAAUUUGCCUUAAUCCGACUCGCGAAAUCAUCAAGUGUCUUAUUGAAACAUCAACAUGUGUGUAUCGGUGCCAAUAUACUAAAUUACAAUUACAUUU